AGCCCUGUGGUGUAGUGCACAUAAAAUUGCAAAUUUUAAAGGGUAAAUUAGGUUUUUCCGGGGCUU
rnacentral:tRNA from 1 species